AAAAAUUACGUUAGGGGGCCUCGGUUGGCCCAAAAAACUAAAAAAUAGAAAUCUACCGGUGGUAGAAUUUUUCGAGUGCGGCGGCUCCGCUGGCUCACCUUCGCAGCUGGGAGUUUUUCUUCAGUUAACCUUACAAAACAGAACAGUGAACACAAUGGUGGAAAGAUCGCACGAACUUGUUAUCGGAUGAGGUUGUGGGUUUUGCUUGCGGUAGCGUCACUGGGUUUUGCCCGCUGUGACCGGCUCACCUGCCGUUUCUUUUGCUCCAAUUUGGCCAUAGGGGUGCUCGGAAUCAAAUUUCGAGCGGAAAAGAGAAUUUUUACCUUUUUUGGCGGUGGACGGUUGACUCCCUUCUCUGGCAACUGGUUCUUCUUCUUUGGCGGAAGGCUGGCAGCUAGGGUGUGGGUUUAGUGUGAUACGAAAUAUUUAUAACCAUCUCGCGUUAAUCUAAGUCGUUCAUCGCGUUUGAUCUCUACUGUCCGAUCGUAUUUAAAGAGAAAAUGAAUCUGGAUCAUUCAUCGCGAUUUGAUCUCGACCAUCCGAUCUUGUUUAAAGAGGGAACGAAUUUGGACUGUUCAUGACGUUUGAUCGUGACCAUACAAUCGUGCCUGAGGAAUGAACAGAUCUGAACCGUCCAUGCGCGAAAAUGCUUCUGGGUUGUCCAAUCGCGGGGCACGCAGAUCGCCAGCGUGGCCUCCCGUGCCUUGUCAUGCAGCGCGCUCCGGUUCGUCAA
rnacentral:lncRNA from 1 species